GCUGCAGUCAUUGGACGAGGAUAUCGUCCUGGACCCUCAGGAAAGUCAGCUUGUCGUUUACCUAUGGAUCGCGGUCGGUGCAAUGGCUUCUGUCUCCGAUAUUAUCACGACAUUAGAACAGGGAAAUGCCGUAAGUUUAUCUACGGAUGCUGCGGAGGAAAUGCAAACAAUUUUCACAAUGAAAUGUUCUGCAAUUGGGUUUGCAGGAACAAAUAGCUGUUUGUCCCUGUAGGUCAGUUUGGAUCAACGAUGGAAAACAUAUCUCGGAUCAGUGUAAUAACAAAAUCUAAUCAACUCACAGGAGAAAAUAAAUUUGAAAUUUGAAAUAUGCCAAUUCUAAAAUAAAAAUAAAAAGAAA